GACGAACGCUGGCGGCGUGCUUAACACAUGCAAGUCGAACGGAAAGGCCCUGCUUUUGUGGGGUGCUCGAGUGGCGAACGGGUGAGUAACACGUGAGUAACCUGCCCUUGACUUUGGGAUAACUUCAGGAAACUGGGGCUAAUACCGGAUAGGAGCUCCUGCUGCAUGGGGGGGGUUGGAAAGUUUCGGCGGUGGGGGAUGGACUCGCGGCUUAUCAGCUUGUUGGUGGGGUAGUGGCUUACCAAGGCUUUGACGGGUAGCCGGCCUGAGAGGGUGACCGGCCACAUUGGGACUGAGAUACGGCCCAGAGUCCUACGGGAGACAGCAGUGGGGAAUAUUGCACAAUGGGCGGAAGCCUGAUGCAGCAACGCCGCGUGCGGGAUGACGGCCUUCGGGUUGUAAACCGCUUUCGCCUGUGACGAAGCGUGAGUGACGGUAAUGGGUAAAGAAGCACCGGCUAACUACGUG
rnacentral:rRNA from 1 species